GGGAUAUAGCUCAGUGGUAGAACACUUGCCUAUUGUGUGUCUUAAUUCAUUCUACUGUCUUUCCCAUUUCCAUCCUCACUCCUUCCCCCAUAAAGAUGAAAGCAGAUGUAUAAACAUGAAAGCUAUUUACUGAUAUAUUGAUCAGUGAACCUUUUUUUUAGGGAAAAUAGAAUUGCUUAAAGUAAUAAUGAUACAGUACUGUAAAGAAUGGCUUUGUUUAUGCAAGGACCUAGGCUCAAUUCCUAGCACCCA
rnacentral:tRNA from 1 species